rnacentral:lncRNA from 1 species
AAACAAAGAGCAUGGAUUAGUAAAAUAGUUUAAAAGAGGGGGUAGGGGCCUAUUUAAAGAAAAAUAUACUCAUCUUUCCAUGUGCUUCUUCUGUUAUUCCCUGUCUUCUCAUGGGGUUCCCCACAUCUGAAAGAAAAACAGAAAGCAUGGAUUAGUAAAAUAGUUUAAAAGAGGGGGUAGGGGCCUAUUUAAAGAAAAAUAUACUCAUCUUUCCAUGUGCUUCUUCUGUUAUCUGCUUCCUUCUCUGGG